rnacentral:lncRNA from 1 species
UAGAAUACGAGGAUGCUAUCAGUAGAAAAUAUCACUCGGACCAUGUAUAACUAGUACUAAUGGAUAGAAUUGGUAUUAAAUUUGUUCUGACUAAUCUUACCAGCUCAUUUAUAGCCUUUGCUAUAAUGAGCUGGUAAACUGUGUCGGUAGUUCUCAUGUUUCUUGUAGGACACACGAGUCCGUAGAACUUAUGUAACCAAUAAUUGCAUGUGAUGUGAGUAAAAGUGAUAAGCCAAAAAUGACUGGUAGAUAAACAAAAAAUAGUAAGUAAAAUUAAGGGGGAAGAAAGAGAAUUUUCAAGAUGCAAAUUUGCUGUGAGAGUCGGUGAGUCUGGUGGCAUAGUAUUUGGCAAUGAAAUCAGAAGCUUUUCUGUCAAUGCCAGGCUCUGCAACCCAAUGUGGUCUGUCUUCAUCACUCGCAAAAACCCUUCUCAUUCCAUUCCCACUUCCUUCCCAAUACUCAUCAUAUCCAUUCUCACAUGAGAAACAUCCCUUCAAUAUCUUGUAAAUUGAUUUCUUCCCUGAUCUCACUCUCUCUUCUCUUCUCAUCACCACUUUCAACUCUCACUCUCUACACUCACACCAGUCUUUUUCUUUUCACUCAUUUCCUUCUACUAACACCUCUUUGUAUUUGUAGGGUGGCUAAAAGCAAUCACAUGCCCUAUUAUUUAACUUAUGCUAUGAAGAAAAAGGAGGAUAAGGAUUCCCUGAAAUCACUGAUAACUGAUAAGGAUGGUUAUAUUUCUCAUGUGAUUGAUCCACACACACAACAGGCAUAAGUGUCCUCCUCCUCUCCUUUUCAUUUGUCAAGCAAUAGUUCUCUGACCUACGUACCUAGCUUCGUCAUGCAUUAAUUCUUCAACUUUGCUUUUAUUAUUGGUCACUAUUUUUUUUAUAAUAAGGUAUCAGUACUCUAUACUCUCAUGGCAGCUGGAAGUAAGUUGCCAAAAGCAACCUUCCAAAAUUUAGUUCUUUUUCCAUCUUUUCUGUUGUCUGGAUGUUAGACUUUAUUAGCUUUUAACUUCAUUAUUA